rnacentral:tRNA from 8 species
AGCUCCGAGGUGUUUACAUAUCAGAUUGCAAAUCUGAAGUGGCAGGCUAGCGUCUGCCGGGGCUU